UACAGAGGUCUCAAGCGUUGUUCGGAUUCAUUGGGCGUAAAGGGUGUCGUCGGCGGCGCGUAAGUCGGGUGUGAAAUUCGAUGGCUUAACUCCGAAACUGCAUUCGAUACUGCGUGCUUGAGGACUGGAGAGGAGACUGGAAUUUACGGUGUAGCGGUGAAAUGCGUAGAUAUCGUAAGGAAGACCAGUGGCGAAGGCGGGUCUCUGGACAGUUCCUGACGCUGAGACG
rnacentral:rRNA from 1 species